rnacentral:rRNA from 1 species
AUUGAACGCUGGCGGCAUGCCUUACACAUGCAAGUCGAACGGCAGCACGGAGCUUGCUCUGGUGGCGAGUGGCGAACGGGUGAGUAAUAUAUCGGAACGUACCCUGGAGUGGGGGAUAACGUAGCGAAAGUUACGCUAAUACCGCAUACGAUCUAAGGAUGAAAGUGGGGGAUCGCAAGACCUCACGCUCGUGGAGCGGCCGAUAUCUGAUUAGCUAGUUGGUAGGGUAAAAGCCUACCAAGGCAUCGAUCAGUAGCUGGUCUGAGAGGACGACCAGCCACACUGGAACUGAGACACGGUCCAGACUCCUACGGGAGGCAGCAGUGGGGAAUUUUGGACAAUGGGCGAAAGCCUGAUCCAGCAAUGCCGCGUGAGUGAAGAAGGCCUUCGGGUUGUAAAGCUCUUUUGUCAGGGAAGAAACGGUGAGAGCUAAUAUCUCUUGCUAAUGACGGUACCUGAAGAAUAAGCACCGGCUAACUACGUGCCAGCAGCCGCGGUAAUACGUAGGGUGCAAGCGUUAAUCGGAAUUACUGGGCGUAAAGCGUGCGCAGGCGGUUUUGUAAGUCUGAUGUGAAAUCCCCGGGCUCAACCUGGGAAUUGCAUUGGAGACUGCAAGGCUAGAAUCUGGCAGAGGGGGGUAGAAUUCCACGUGUAGCAGUGAAAUGCGUAGAUAUGUGGAGGAACACCGAUGGCGAAGGCAGCCCCCUGGGUCAAGAUUGACGCUCAUGCACGAAAGCGUGGGGAGCAAACAGGAUUAGAUACCCUGGUAGUCCACGCCCUAAACGAUGUCUACUAGUUGUCGGGUCUUAAUUGACUUGGUAACGCAGCUAACGCGUGAAGUAGACCGCCUGGGGAGUACGGUCGCAAGAUUAAAACUCAAAGGAAUUGACGGGGACCCGCACAAGCGGUGGAUGAUGUGGAUUAAUUCGAUGCAACGCGAAAAACCUUACCUACCCUUGACAUGGCUGGAAUCCUCGAGAGAUUGAGGAGUGCUCGAAAGAGAACCAGUACACAGGUGCUGCAUGGCUGUCGUCAGCUCGUGUCGUGAGAUGUUGGGUUAAGUCCCGCAACGAGCGCAACCCUUGUCAUUAGUUGCUACGAAAGGGCACUCUAAUGAGACUGCCGGUGACAAACCGGAGGAAGGUGGGGAUGACGUCAAGUCCUCAUGGCCCUUAUGGGUAGGGCUUCACACGUCAUACAAUGGUACAUACAGAGCGCCGCCAACCCGCGAGGGGGAGCUAAUCGCAGAAAGUGUAUCGUAGUCCGGAUUGUAGUCUGCAACUCGACUGCAUGAAGUUGGAAUCGCUAGUAAUCGCGGAUCAGCAUGUCGCGGUGAAUACGUUCCCGGGUCU